UUAACAAAGGAGUAGGUCCGGUAAGGACUCAUUUUGGCCUCAAAUUUCAGUUUCAUCUGAAGAAAGAUUUUGACCACUUUUUAAACACUUAAGUGUCUAUUUCACUUGAUUCAAUUAGUUUAUGUGAAAGAUUUUAACUGAUUAAGUCAUUAAAAACGAUCCGAUUGAAGCUCAAAUAUGAAAAAUCUCUCAAAUAUGCCAAAAAAACGUC
rnacentral:lncRNA from 1 species